GCCCAGAUGGCGGAAUUGGUAGACGCGUUGGUCUCAAACACCAAUGGCAGAAAUGCUGUGCCGGUUCGAUCCCGGCUCUGGGUA
rnacentral:tRNA from 1 species